rnacentral:snoRNA from 1 species
ACCCCCCAGAUUCCUCACCUCUCAGAUCUAAAUGUUGAUUGGAGUGACUUAAAGAGGAGGAAAAUUCAAAUUGAAGUCGACUUUGAGGCUAAUGAUACAGAAGGUCAUUUCAAACAUAU